rnacentral:rRNA from 1 species
UGCAAGUCGAACGGCAGCGCGGGAGCAAUCCUGGCGGCGAGUGGCGAACGGGUGAGUAAUACAUCGGAACGUGCCCAAUCGUGGGGGAUAACGCAGCGAAAGCUGUGCUAAUACCGCAUACGAUCUACGGAUGAAAGCAGGGGAUCGCAAGACCUUGCGCGAAUGGAGCGGCCGAUGGCAGAUUAGGUAGUUGGUGAGGUAAAGGCUCACCAAGCCUUCGAUCUGUAGCUGGUCUGAGAGGACGACCAGCCACACUGGGACUGAGACACGGCCCAGACUCCUACGGGAGGCAGCAGUGGGGAAUUUUGGACAAUGGGCGAAAGCCUGAUCCAGCCAUGCCGCGUGCAGGAUGAAGGCCUUCGGGUUGUAAACUGCUUUUGUACGGAACGAAACGGCCUUUUCUAAUAAAGAGGGCUAAUGACGGUACCGUAAGAAUAAGCACCGGCUAACUACGUGCCAGCAGCCGCGGUAAUACGUAAGGUGCAAGCGUUAAUCGGAAUUACUGGGCGUAAAGCGUGCGCAGGCGGUAAUGUAAGACAGUUGUGAAAUCCCCGGGCUCAACCUGGGAACUGCAUCUGUGACUGCAUUGCUGGAGUACGGUAGAGGGGGAUGGAAUUCCGCGUGUAGCAGUGAAAUGCGUAGAUAUGCGGAGGAACACCGAUGGCGAAGGCAAUCCCCUGGACCUGUACUGACGCUCAUGCACGAAAGCGUGGGGAGCAACAGGAUUAGAUACCCUGGUAGUCCACGCCCUAACGAUGUCACUGGGUGUUGGGGUCUCCACUGACUCAGUAACGAACUAACGCGUGAAGUUGACCGCCUGGGGAGUCGGCCGCAGGGUUGAAACUCCAAGGAAUUGACGGGGACCCGCACAACGGUGGAGGAGGGGGUUUAAUCCAUGCAACGCGAAAACCUUACCCACCUUUGACAUGUACGGAAUCUCCCAAAAUGGUUAUUGUCGAAAAAAACC